rnacentral:lncRNA from 1 species
CAAAGGCUAAAUUAUUUAUAUCCCCAAAGAAACCCUCAGUUUUUUCAUAUCCCCCAAAGUCUCGAACCCUAGCGGUGCUCUUGGAGGCAGCCGCAGCGACGCCAAUCGACGAUGGCAGCGUUUAGAUCUCUAGCGUGGAAGAUCGGCGGUCGCGCACUACAGCGAUCGCCGGCCAUCUGUCGUGUUGUGGACGUGGUUCCACAUGGCGGAUUACUUGGACGACCGGCGGUCGUCAAAUCUCGCAUAUUUAGCUCCGGCGCCUCCGGCACAAGCGAACCAUUAUGCAAGGUAUAUAUGACAUCACUACUCUGGAAAAGAUCCCCCCACAAUUUUGUCAUGAUUUCGAUUGAACUACUCUGGAAAAGAUGUAGGUAGGUAGCCUUUUUUUUUUUUGAAACGAGCAGGUAGGUAGGUAGCCUUGUGGUAAUCUGGUUCAGGAGCUUAGAUUUGUGCUUUCUGUUGAAUGAGAUGUGAAACUAAAAGUUCAAUAUGGAAGAUAUUCGCGUGUUGUUGACGUAGGUGGUGGCGUUUUUUAGGCAUGUCCUCUUCUACCAUGCCUCGUGGAUCUUCCUGCUUCUUCCCUUGGUUGCAGAAAUAGGAAUAUGGUUUCCUUUAAUAACGUAUACCCCAGUGCUAGUCGAAAACUCCCCUUCCCCUUCACCAAGGCCCCGUCCCCUUGUGUACCUUCAGACCUGUGUGGGUAGUCGUAGCAGCACGAGAGCCUUUUAUGGUGGAUUCUGUUGAAGCGAUUGAUAAGUUCCACAUUCCUAGAUGAUGGAUCCGAGUACCCAGGUUGCUCAAGGCGAUAAACCCGGUCGCUGUCUUCCCAAUGAUGACCACAAUGCUCAUCUUUCAUGAUUUUGUGUGCAAGGAGUAGCCUCUCUGUAAUCUCGAAAUCCAUCCCUGUCUAUCUACCUUGCCCUUGGUGCACGUUCGUUAAUAGUAUUUGGUGGACAGUGGGUAUGAGUAUGAUCAUAGACAACCUUAAACUGCCAAGGCUGAAUAACAUGCUGAAAUAACAUUCUCUGAUUAGAUGGUACCUCCUUUACUUCAGACGUUGUACUUGUAGCUCACUGGAGAACAAGUGGGGGAUGAUGGUUAGGUGUGCCUCGUCCGGGGUUGCACUUGGUAUUGGGAAAUCAGUGAACAAAAUUUUGUUGGGAGAGCUUACGGUGGAGAUAAGUUUUCUUUUAUUGCUUGAUACCAUUGUGAUGCCUAUGGUAACUAUUCUCUCUGUUGGCUUCUAAAAUGGAGUUAGACCGGCCCGGGUCAUCUACCCGGCCUUGAUAAUCCUAGUAGCUGUUGCUUGAUGUCUAAUUUCUGCUGAGGCGGCAAUCAAUCCAUUCCACAAUAGAUAUUUCCUUUUCUGUGUCUGAAGGCAAGUGUACUUUUUAGAGUGUUAGGAGGCCAAAAUUGUCCGUUUCAUUUUUUAUUAUUAGUGUUUAUUAACAAGAGAAUUGCUCCUUCCAAAUACUUACCUUGCUAAUUUUUUAAUCCUUUUGUGUGUUCAGAAUUGUUUACAAUCAUUCGGAGGGCCUGCUGCGGAUGCUAGGUCCCAUCUCAAUAAUCUAGGACCCGAGGGUCUUAGAGAGGAAGUGGAGAGGAAGAAAAAAGAUCUGUUAUAUGCACUACUAAAGAUGGAUUCCUGCACCAAUUUGAAUGCACUUCCAGGUGAAAACAAGGAGGAGCUGGGCGUCCUACUCCCGCUGCUCCAACCCAAGGCACAAGAACCGGCCAGGUGCACACUGCGCUGUACAUCAAACGUACUAACAAUCUCAUUUGUUUUUUCAUCAUUAUAAUUGCACCCCCUCCCUCUAUGUGUGUAGGUCCGAAGAAGUAUUAGUUGAUGGAGGGAUGAAGUUCUGGUUCUUUGUGAUUUGCGCAAUACCUAUUGUGACCGUUCUUUGCAUUUACAGAGACAGCAAACGACCUUUUCCAGUAGAUAAAGAUUAAACAGGAGGUUAAGGGCCGGUUCUUUUGGAUGGCUUAAAAAAUAAGCCGUCUCUUCCGAACCUAAAAAUGAGCCACCACCUAAAUUUGUUGUGACUGCUUAAUUAGUUACCCCCACAUUUGUAUAUGGCAUAUAAUUCGUAAUUCAUUAUGUAUAAGAUGGUGUAAUAUUGUCCUUAGCAUUGUAUAGUUUAAGUACGGUCUAUGUUCCUAAAUGUAACAAGUAAAUGAAAUGCAAAAGAUCUUACAUUUAGGAAUAGACACAGUAAUAGUUAGCACUUGUUAUCAAUAUACAAUAGCGGUUCUACAAAUGAACUACAUAAGUAUUUUGCAUUUUCAAAAGACAC